AUUGAACGCUGGCGGCAGGCUUAACACAUGCAAGUCGAGCGGGGUGAUGGUGCUUGCACUAUCACUUAGCGGCGGACGGGUGAGUAAUGCUUAGGAAUCUGCCUAUUAGUGGGGGACAACAUCUCGAAAGGGAUGCUAAUACCGCAUACGUCCUACGGGAGAAAGCAGGGGAUCACUUGUGACCUUGCGCUAAUAGAUGAGCCUAAGUCGGAUUAGCUAGUUGGUGGGGUAAAGGCCUACCAAGGCGACGAUCUGUAGCGGGUCUGAGAGGAUGAUCCGCCACACUGGGACUGAGACACGACCCAGACUCCUACGGGGGGCAGCAGUGGGGAAUAUUGGACAAUGGGGGGAACCCUGAUCCAGCCAUGCCGCGUGUGUGAAGAAGGCCUUAUGGUUGUAAAGCACUUUAAGCGAGGAGGAGGCUCUUUUGGUUAAUACCCAGGAUGAGUGGACGUUACUCGCAGAAUAAGCACCGGCUAACUCUGUGCCAGCCGCCGCGGUAAAAC
rnacentral:rRNA from 1 species